rnacentral:rRNA from 2 species
AACUUAAAUGAUUUCUUCGGAAUGAACUUAAGUGGAUUAGUGGCGGACGGGUGAGUAACGCGUGAGUAACCUGCCUUACACAAGGGGAUAGCCGUUGGAAACGACGAAUAAUACCCUAUGAAACUAUCACUUCGCAUGAAGCGAUAGUCAAAGUGUUAGCGGUGUAAGAUGGACUUGCGUCUGAUUAGCUAGUUGGUGAGAAAAAAGCCCACCAAGGCAACGAUCAGUAGCCGGCUUGAGAGAGUGUACGGCCACAUUGGGACUGAGACACGGCCCAGACUCCUACGGGAGGCAGCAGUGGGGAAUUUUGCACAAUGGGGGAAACCCUGAUGCAGCGACGCCGCGUGAUUUAGAAGGCCUUCGGGUUGUAAAAAUCUUUUGUAUAGGAAGAAAAUGACAGUACUAUACGAAUAAGGUCCGGCUAAUUACGUGCCAGCAGCCGCGGUAAUACGUAAGGACCGAGCGUUGUCCGGAAUCAUUGGGCGUAAAGGGUACGUAGGCGGGUCAUUAAGUUAGAAGUCAAAGGCUAUAGCUCAACUAUAGUAAGCUUCUAAAACUGGCGACCUUGAGUAAUGGAAGGGAAAGUGGAAUUCCUAGUGUAGCGGUGGAAUGCGCAGAUAUUAGGAGGAAUACCGGUGGCGAAGGCGAC